UACGAAGGGGGCUAGCGUUGCUCGGAAUCACUGGGCGUAAAGGGCGCGUAGGCGGACUUUUAAGUCAGGGGUGAAAUCCUGAGGCUCAACCUCAGAACUGCCUUUGAUACUGAGGGUCUCGAGACCGGUAGAGGUAAGUGGAACUGCGAGUGUAGAGGUGAAAUUCGUAGAUAUCGCAAGAACACCAGUGGCGGAAGGCGGCUUACUGGUCCGGGAUCUGA
rnacentral:rRNA from 1 species